AUGUCACCCCUCUUGUUGCUUUUCUUCACUAUUGCUGAUAUUGCAGAGGCUGCUGACAACAGCAUUAAACCAGACCAAACCACCAUGUCUAUAACUGAAUACAGCAACAUCACACUGUCCUGCACAUAUACUGGAUCAGUUUGGCGUCUCCACUGGUAUCAACAAAAGCCUGGAUCAAGACCAGAGUUUCUGAUGCUGAUUGAUGAAGCUACUGAAAGUGUCACAAAGCCUCAACCGCCUCGUCCACAAUUUUCCAUAAAGCUUGAUAAAACGAGUAAGAAAGUGGAUCUGUUCAUCUCCCCUGCUGCAGUGACAGACUCUGCACUGUACUACUGCAUUGCAGGCAGCCAGAUUACAGCUGGCCGAGAGCGUCAGUGCACCCGGGAGCUGAUCAGCAUUGAGAAGGAGCGGCUCCAGUUACUCCGAGACCUGUAUGAGUGGCACCAUCAGGAGCGGAUGGGCCUUAAACAGGCAAAACUAGACCUGCUGGUCAGAGAAGUGGAGCUUCAGAGUGGAUUCACGGAGUCAUGA